rnacentral:rRNA from 1 species
GACGAACCGUGCAAACGUUAUUCGGAAUCACUGGGCUUAAAGGGCGCGUAGGCGGAUUGCCAAGUCGGUGGUGAAAUCGUUCGGCCCAACCGGACAAGUGCCGCCGAUACUGGCAGUCUCGAGGGAGGUAGGGGUCGAGGGAACUGGUGGUGGAGCGGUGAAAUGCGUUGAUAUUGGAAGGAACUCCGGUGGCGAAAGCGAACGGGCUGGAUCUCUUCUGACGCUGAGGCGCGAAAGCUAGGGGAGCAAACGGGG